rnacentral:rRNA from 1 species
UACGAAGGGGGCUAGCGUUGCUCGGAAUCACUGGGCGUAAAGCGCACGUAGGCGGCUUUCUAAGUCAGGGGUGAAAUCUUGGAGCUCAACUCCAGAACUGCCUUUGAUACUGGAGAGCUUGAGUCCAGAAGAGGUGAGUGGAACUCCGAGUGUAGAGGUGAAAUUCGUAGAUAUUCGGAAGAACACCAGUGGCGAAGGCGGCUCACUGGUCCGGUACUGACGCUGAGGAGCGAAAGCGUGGGGAGCGAACAGG